CGAAUUCUCACGCGUGCAAAUUCAAAUUUUAGCAGCAACAACCACGAAUGGACGUUGUAAUUAGAUGAUAUAAACAAUUAUUUUUCAUACCUGAGAUCAAAUAAGCCUUUGGCAGGUUCGGAGUCACUUGUCCAAUAAAAAAUAUAACGAAAAUCUGUCAAAAGCAGGCUUUUCUUCGUCGAAAUAUACUCGAACGAAAAAGUAAAAAAUUUGCAAAUCACACAUUUCACACUGACAUUCG